GAUGAAGAACGUAGCGAAAUGCGAUAAGUAAUGUGAAUUGCAGAAUUCAGUGAAUCAUCGAAUCUUUGAACGCACAUUGCGCCCCUUGGUAUUCCGGGGGGCAUGCCUGUUCGAGCGUCAUUAUAACCCUCAAGCCUAGCUUGGUGUUGGAGCAUGCUAUCUAGCAGCUCUUAAAAUCAGUGGCAGUGCCCUUCGGCUCUAAGCGUAGUAACUUCUCUCGCUAUGGAAACCGGAUGGUACGCGCCAAAACCCCCAACUUUCUAUGGUUGACCUCGGAUCAGGUAGGGAUACCCGCUGAACUUAAGCAUAUCAUAAGCGGAGGA
rnacentral:misc_RNA from 1 species